UGUUAUAUAAAAGCUGGCAUCCAAGAUAGG
rnacentral:piRNA from 1 species